GACGGAGGAUGCAAGCGUUAUCCGGAAUGAUUGGGCGUAAAGCGUCCGCAGGUGGCAGUUCAAGUCUGCUGUCAAAGACCGGGGCUUAACUUCGGAAAGGCAGUGGAAACUGAACAGCUAGAGUAUGGUAGGGGCAGAGGGAAUUCCUGGUGUAGCGGGUGAAAUGCGUAGAGAUCAGGAAGAACAUCGGUGGCGAAGGCGGGUCUCUGGGCCGAUACUGACGCUGAGGCGCGAAAGCUAGGGGAGCAAACGGG
rnacentral:rRNA from 1 species